rnacentral:lncRNA from 1 species
AUGGGGGACGGUGGGGGGGGGGGUUCCCACCAGGACCGGCCACCAAACCGUAGUCCUCAGAACAAGGUGAGAGCGCAAGGCCCCUGCUCAGAUGUCAAGAUGACAAAGGAACUUCAGGUCAAGAGCCGGGCCCCGUGUGGCUCUGCAGGUGGCACAUGGAUGAAGCGGACCCCGUCCCUAACCGUCAGAGCCUCGUCCUCAUCUGGGCCGAGUCUCCGGGCACACAGAGAGGAGAGGCCCUCAAAAAAGACCCAGCCUGUCCCCCCUCAAAACAGGGACAGCCGGGGACCUGCUGCUCACCCAGACUUCCAUCUGGGCUGGUUGGUGCAGACUCCUACACUAAUGCACGUACACGUGCACAGGCCCACACAGAGACACAUGUAUACACAUACACACAUGCACACACAUGCAUGUGCACGGGUACACACACAGAUACGUGUGCGUGCACACAUAUAUGCACUGGUGCAGGUGUGUGCACACACAGGUGCACACACAUAUAGGCACACGAGCACACACACAGAUACAUGCAUGUGCACACAUGUAUGCAUGCUCACACAGGUGCACGCACACACACACACACGUGCUCGCACACAUGGUGCACACAGCACACACACACGCUCAGCGCCCUCCCCUCAGAUAUGCGGGAGUGAGCCCAGGUCAGGAUUUGCUGAAAUAGCAGCACAGCACCGAAGAGCAGCUGUCCUGGGCGCAGCUCAAAGGGGCAGCUCCCCCAGAUGGUGGGCAAACAAGUCAGCUCAGCCCUCCUGCCCCGAACCGGAGAUCCACGGAGCUGGCACGUGCCCGGAGACCCCCAGCUCCCUCCGCUCACGAAGGGGAAAGGAACAGGAGGCCACGAGGCCGACGACCGCCAAGGGGACGGGCCCCUGGCCUUGCCACCCGCACGUUCCUUGGGGGGGCGAGCGCGGGGGUUCCUCCUGCUCCACGCCACCUCCUCUCCUGGCAGACCCACUUACUGCCCCCGACACCUCACCUCCGCGGACUGCAGCAGCCACUCCGACAGAAACCGCUGGAGCAGAGGCCAAUGCGGCUCCACCGCCACCGACCUGCGCUCCCAACUGCUGGGAAUCUGUUUCACAUUACGCGGCUAUACGCGGAUGUUAG